rnacentral:rRNA from 1 species
AUGGCUAAAUACUGGUGGAGUAGUUCGAUUGACAGAAGAUCUCUUCAUUGGAUCUCAUGGAAAAUUCUCACGGUACCAAAAUGCAAAGGAGGUAUGGCUUUUCGUGAUUAUCAUCUGUUUAACUUGGCACUAUUGGGGAAGCAUGGGUGGAGGUUCUUGACAAAUCGAAACUCACUAUGUGCCAGAGUUUUAAAGGGGAGAUAUUUCCCCGAUAGUGAUUUUAUGCAGGCUCACGUGCCACAUUCUGCAUCGGCUAUAUGGCACGUCAUCAUUGCCGGGCGGGAA